rnacentral:rRNA from 1 species
AGAGUUUGAUCAUGGCUCAGAAUCAACGCUGGCGGCGUGCCUAACACAUGCAAGUCGAACGAGAAAACAGGGGCAACUCUGUGAGUAUAGUGGCGUACGGGUGAGUAACACGUGACUAACCUACCUUCGAGUGGGGGAUAACCCCGGGAAACCGGGGCUAAUACCGCAUAAUAUCGCAAGAUCAAAGGAGUAAUCCGCUUGAAGAGGGGGUCGCGGCUGAUUAGCUAGUUGGUAGGGUAAUGGCCUACCAAGGCGAUGAUCGGUAGCCGGCCUGAGAGGGCGCACGGCCACACUGGAACUGAAACACGGUCCAGACUCCUACGGGAGGCAGCAGUGGGGAAUUUUGCGCAAUGGGGGAAACCCUGACGCAGCAACGCCGCGUGGAGGAUGAAGUCCCUUGGGACGUAAACUCCUUUCGACCGGGACGAUUAUGACGGUACCGGUGGAAGAAGCCCCGGCUAACUUCGUGCCAGCAGCCGCGGUAAUUC